UACGAAGGGGGCUAGCGUUGCUCGGAAUCACUGGGCGUAAAGGGUGCGUAGGCGGGUUCUUAAGUCAGAGGUGAAAUCCUGGAGCUCAACUCCAGAACUGCCUUUGAUACUGAGAGUCUUGAGUUCGGGAGAGGUGAGUGGAACUGCGAGUGUAGAGGUGAAAUUCGUAGAUAUUCGCAAGAACACCAGUGGCGAAGGCGGCUCACUGGCCCGUAACUGACGCUCAUGCACGACAGCGUGGGGAUCAAACAGG
rnacentral:rRNA from 1 species